rnacentral:lncRNA from 1 species
AUCUGAUUGAAAAAUGGGCAGAAGAUUUGAAUGGACAAUUUCCCGAACAGACAUAUAGAUGGCCACAGAGCCUCUUGGAAAGAGUCCUGCUUUGUUGAAUAUUCUUAAGAGAGAAUUGAAGACACAAUUUCUUUAUCAGAAGGGAGCUGUCACAUUCUCUGAUUAGAUGUUGGUGCAUUUC